rnacentral:rRNA from 1 species
AGAGUUUGAUCCUGGCUCAGAUUGAACGCUGGCGGCAGGCCUAACACAUGCAAGUCGAGCGGAUGAGUGGAGCUUGCUCCAUGAUACAGCGGCGGACGGGUGAGUAAUGCCUAGGAAUCUGCCUGGUAGUGGGGGACAACGUUUCGAAAGGAACGCUAAUACCGCAUACGUCCUACGGGAGAAAGUGGGGGAUCUUCGGACCUCACGCUAUCAGAUGAGCCUAGGUCGGAUUAGCUAGUUGGUGAGGUAAAGGCUCACCAAGGCGACGAUCCGUAACUGGUCUGAGAGGAUGAUCAGUCACACUGGAACUGAGACACGGUCCAGACUCCUACGGGAGGCAGCAGUGGGGAAUAUUGGACAAUGGGCGAAAGCCUGAUCCGCCAUGCCGCGUGUGUGAAGAAGGUCUUCGGAUUGUAACGCCUUUAAGUUGGGAGGAAGGGCAGUAAGUUAAUACCUUGCUGUUUGACGUACCGACAG